rnacentral:rRNA from 1 species
AGGUAGUAAUUCUUUUUUAAUAAACCUAUUUAAAUUGGCGGCAUUUAAUUUAAUUAGAGGAACUUGUCUUUUAAUCGAUAAUCCACGUUAAUCUUCACUUUAAUUAAAAAUUUAUAUACCGCCAUCAAAAAUUAAUUAAAUAUAUUAUUUUUAAUAACAAUUAAAAAGUUAGGUCAAGGUAUAAUCAAUAUCAAAGUUUCGAUGAGUUACAUUAAAUAAUAUUUAAGGAUUUAAUUUUAAAUUUAAAAUGAAAAAGGAUUUAAUAGUAAUUCUUUAAUUAAUAUUUUAAAAUGAAUAAAACAAAAAAUGUGC